UUUGGAGAGUCCCGCUAGGGUCGGUCGCCAUCUUGGGACUGGGUGGGAGUAAUGCCUCCUGUCGCCUCCUGUUGUCUGCAGACCGUCAGAAAGAGAGGUGUACUCUGGAGGCCCCCUCGGAAGGUUCCAGACCCCACUAAUCGGCCCAACGGAAGAGCGGGCCUCCGACCUUGUUGGGAGUCGGAUGGGCUCCCGCUGUCAGUCAAGGUGGCAUUGCUAGCCUGCAGCCCCGAAGCGGACGGAAGCUGACCGUUACUAAAUCUCGGACCCCAGCCCCUUUUCACCCGUAGCUGCCCUUGUAAAUAUUACAUCGGCGGCCCCGGAGUGCGGGCCAGUCCUCCGGAGACCAAGGUCAUCUGCUUAGGCCUCUCGCCAGCACAGGAUAUGUCACUAGUUUACCAGAAACUGGAAGAUCCCUUUUAGUGCAGCUGACCUCAUCCAGGUGAAGACAUCAAGAAGGAAGUUGGAUGUGGGAAUCUGGAGUUAGGGAAGCAUGAAAACCAGCUCACCCUGCAUCCCUUGACUUGCUGAUGACUCUACCACCUGGUCAUAAUAAUGUUAAUAAUCUUCAAUUUCUUCCUCUCCUUCACUUUCCUGGAAAUUAAAAGGACUUCAUCAGGGACUUCUGAACGUCUGAACUCCAGAAUGAGCCAAUUGGAUGUGGCCUCUGCCUUCCAGCUUCAUCUUCCACCCCCAACAUGAACCCAUUGCUCAAACAGUACUUACUUAAGAGUCAUUUGAGCCCUUUUGCAUGCAGUUCCUUCUACCUUUCAGACAAGUUCGAGCAUCUCCUUUGAGAAGCCUGUGACCUGCUCAACUUGGUUGUUGCUCGUGCCACUGUACCACUUCUUCCUGUUGUGCACUGCCCACAUGCUGUUGAUACAUGGGCUUGCACUUUUGUCACCCCAUAAGUUCCUUGAGAGACUAGGGUGCCCUUAACUCUCCCCUGUGUUUCUGAUACCUAUCUCAAUGGCUAAAACCUGACAUCCUCCAGAAAAAUGUAAAUGAAUCAACUCUUGUCGAGCUUAAAGGUAAAAGAAGAAAAUCCCGAGAUCAGUAUGUCCAACAGAGUACCCUUUACUCAGCUAACAGUUGACAAAGUAACAUAUCUUUGUAUGUUUCACUUUUCAGCUGUGUCAAGCAAAGAUACAAGAUGCAGAAUCGCCUGCUUAUAAAAAUCCAGGAGAGACAGAAAAGUCAAGCAUAUCAAUUUAUUGUGAGAAAUCUUAAAUUGGUUUUUUUGUUUAUUUGAAAUAGUUACAGAGAGAGGUAGAGACAGAAAGAGAGGUCUUCCAUCUGCUGGUUCACUCCCCAGAUGGCCGCAACAACUGGAGCUGUGCCGAUCCGAAGCCAGGAGCCAGGAGCUUCUUCCAAGUCUCCCACAUGGGUGCAGGGGCCCAAGGACUUGGGACAUCUUCUACUGCUUUCCCAGGCCGCAGAAGAGAGCUGGAUUGGAAGAGGAACAGCCAGGACUAGAACCCAUGCCCAUAUGGGAUGCUGGCGCUUCAGGCCAGGGCAUUAACCCACUGCACCACAGCACCAGCCCCAUUAACUUAUGAACUUUAAUAAACUAGGUAUGUAGCCUUUUACUCUCUUAGAAGCUUAGUAUGGGGGCUGGCGCUGUGGUAUAGUAGGUUAAACCUCUGCCUGUGGUGCUGGCAUCCCAUAUGGACACUGGUUUGAGAUCCAGCUAUUUCACUUCUGAUCCAGCUCCCUGCUACUGGCCUGGGAAGGCAGAGGAAGAUGGCCCAAAUGCUGGGCCUCUGAACCCACAUGGGAGACCAGAUGAAGCACCUGGCUUCUGGCUUUAGGCUGGCCCAGCUCCAGCUCUUGUGGCUAUUUGGGGAGUGAACCAGCAGAUGGAAGAUCUCUCAGCUUCUCCCUCUCUUUAUCUGUAACUGUGCCUCACAAAUAAGUAAAUAAAUCUUUUUUAAAAAUAAUAAUAAAAAUAAAGAUUAAAAACAUGACCUUUACUAUGUGAUUAAAAAAAUCAAAUGAUUACCAUUUUAUGGUUUCCAUAGAAAAAAGGCAGCUUAGUAUGUGAUGUAUAAAAUGAAAAUGAAGACACUGAACAAGACAGUCUGUGAAGUCCUACUUAUGAUUUAUUCAAACACUAAUUUCACUAAAUGUUCCUAUAUUCAAGGCUACCUAUUAAAUCAUUUGAGCAAAAACCUGGAAGUCCUCUCAAAUUAUGCUUUGACCUUGGUCAUUUUAGUCUCUUUGUGUCUGCCUUAACCCAGCUGGAGAGUAGGUAGAAAAGGGAAGCAUUUCAUUGAAUACCAGCUGCUACUGCUGCUGCUGCUAAUCUGAGCUGUUCUGAAUAAAACAUAUCCACUCAAAUCAAUGUAGCAGCCCUUAGUAUUUUUUCCUUUUAAUACGUGAAUCAUUUGAGUUCUUUGAAAUCAUUCACACUGCAUCCAAAUGUCUAAUACUGUUUUAAAUAUGUACCAUACUGAUUCUAACAGGGAUUAUAUAUUUUAUUAUAAAUAAAAUCUUAGUAUUAAGAACGGUGAUUUUUAUUUAUU